rnacentral:rRNA from 1 species
GUAGGAUCCGAGCGUUGUCCGGAUUUACUGGGCGUAAAGGGUGCGUAGGCGGCAUGUUAAGUCUCAUGUGAAAUCUCCCGGCUCAACUGGGAGGGGUCAUGGGAAACUGGCAAGCUGGAGGGCAGUAGAGGAGAGUGGAAUUCCCGGAGUAGUGGUGAAAUGCGUAGAUACCGGGAGGAACACCAGAGGCGAAGGCGACUCUCUGGACUGUACCUGACGCUGAGGCACGAAAGCGUGGGGAGCGAACCGGGAUUAGAUACCCGGGUAGUCCACGCCCUAAACGAUGGGUACUAGGUAUAGGGGGUAUCGACCCCCCUCCUGUGCCGUAGCUAACGCGAUAAGUAUCCCGCCUGGGGAGUACGGCCGCAAGGCUA